CUCGAUCUCACAACAUGAGCCAAACUCAAGAGAUCAUGACAUGAGCCAAACUCAAGAAUUGGGCACUUAACUGACUGAGCCACCCAGGCGCCCCUGAUUUGGAUUACUUUUAUUGAUUUCUAUUGCCUAAUUGUUUUGGCUAGGGCUCCAGUACUAUGUUGAAUAGAAGUGGUGAGAAUGGGUAUCCUUGUCUUGUUCCUGAUCAUCACUGAGUAUAAUGUUAACUGUGGGCUGUUAUAUAUGGUCUGUAUUCUGUUGAGGUACAUUCUUGUAUACCUACUUUAUGAGUAUUAUUUUAUCAUAAAAAGAUGUUGAAUUUUGUCAAAUGUUUUAUAUGCAUAUAUCAAGAUGAUCAUAUGAUUUUUACCCUUAAUUAUAUUAACGUGGUGCAUCAUGUUUAUGGAUUUCCUUAUGCUGAGCCAUCCUUGCAUCUCAGAGAAAAAUCAACUAAUAUUCGACAAGGAUGCCAAGAAUACACAAUGGGGGAAAUUAUAGUCUCUUCCACAAAUGCUGUUGGGAAAAAAUAGAUAUCAUAUGCAAAAAAAUUAAAUUGGACCCUUCCUUUACACCAUCCACAAAAAUCAACUCAAAAUGAAUUAAAGACUUCAACACAAGACCUGAAAUGGUAAAAUUCUUAGAGAAAAACAGAGCAGAUCUUUUUGAAAUUGGUCUUGAUGAUGUUUUCUUAGAUAGGACACCAAAAAUACAGGCCACAAAAUCAAAAAUAGACAGAUAAGACUACACCAAACUUCUGAAAAGCAAAGGAAACAAGAGAAUGAAAAGGCAACCUAUGGAAUGAAAGAAAAUAUUUGCAAAUCAUAUAUCUGAUUUGGGCUAUAUGCCCUUGAUCAACUGAGGUUUAUUAAUUAAUGUAAUUCACCAUACUAAAAGUCUGAGGAAUAAAGACCACUUAAUUAUAUAAAUAAAUGCAGAUAAACCUCAACAAAAUAAUAUAGCCAUUCAUGGUAAAACUCUAAGCAAAUUCGGAGUAAAAAAUAACUUCUUUGAGCUAAUAAAGGCAUCUACAAAAGCCCUACAGAUAACAUCAUAUUUAAUGAUGAAAAACUGCUUUGCCACUAACUCAGAACAAAGCAAGGAAGUCUAGUCUCACCACUCCUGUUCAACACUGCCCAUCCAGAAAAUCCCAGGGAAUCUACCAAAACAACCUCUUUGAACUAAUAGGUCAUAAGAUAUAAGAUCAACACACAAAUCAAUCUUCUGGACUCCAUCUCCUGUUCUAUUGAUCUAUGUGUUCAUUUUUGUGCCAAUACUAUACUGUUUUGACUAAUUACAGUUUGUAAUAUGCCUUAAAAUCUGGGAUUGUGAUACUUCCAGGUUUGUUGUAUAAUAUUGUAAUAUGUUGUAUAGUGCCAGAUGGUGGUGACCGCAGUUAUGGUAAACAUUGGGUAAUGUGGAGAAUUGUCGAAUCAAUAUUUUUGAAAGAGUGCUGACAAUACUGACCCCAUCACUGACUGUGUGUUCCAGGCCCCUUGGUGAUUAGCUUACAUACCUUGGAAAUGCCCAUCAAGGUAGUACCACGAGCACUAACUGAAGUAGCCGUCAGUUAGGUGCUUGCAAGCCCUUUGAGGAACACGCAGACCCUUUGCUCUCACUACAGUGCCCCUUUUGUGUGGCCCCUCGCUCUAUAAAAUCUGUGGACUAAGGACUGAAUUUUGUGGAGCGUAACUAUGCAGGUGACAUGGAUCAUCCUCCACCGGAUCCUUCCUGUCAGUAAGUUUCCCUAAGUAAAACUGUGUAAACUGUAUGGAGUGGCCUGCUUUAUUUUCCAGUCUCAAAGUGGCUUCUCAGUUUGGGGGACACUUUCCUGUCUCUUCUCUACCUUCUAACAAUGUUAUAUGAUGUGGGAAUAAUGGGGUUCAGAGCCCAUGGCCAAGAAAGAAUUCUUGAGACAUCUUCAGUGCAAAAAGGUGGUUUUAUUAAAGCACAGAGACAGGACCCAUGGGCAGAAAGAGCUACACUAGGGUUGUGAGCAGUGGCUGAUUAUAUAUUUUCAGAUUGGGAGGGGGUUAGGGAUAGCGUAAGUCUAUAAGGAGUUUUGGAAGCAAGGUUUCCAGGACUUGAAGGGGGCUAGCUGUUGUUAGGAAAAUGUCAUUUAUUACUGUCUAGGGAAACCUCAGUCAUGAGACCCUCCAGAUGUAUAUCAGUGGGCCAUAUCCUUGGAGGAUGAUUGCUAACAUCUAUCUUGAGGGGAGGGAACAGAGAUAAAGGAUGUUUCCAAAGGAAUUUUUAUAUGUUAAAGUAGACUUACAGGAUCCUGGGGGGUCAGGAUGAUAUUAAGCUAAGAUUGCCUUUUGCCUUUAGCAAAGUGUUAGCAUCGAGGCAGCUGAGCUCCCAAAGGAAGGUCACUCUGCCUGUUUCAAAGAUUUGUCAGUGAGUUGUAGAUAGUAGGGAAAUUUAACUUGUUCUUAUUGCCUUUGUUUCCCACAUCAUUGCACACCUGAAAUUAACAUAACAUUGAAUGUCAAUUUUACUUCAAUAAUAAUAAAAAAUGUAUCUUCAACUGCA